rnacentral:ncRNA from 2 species
AGAGUUAAAUAGUACGUGAAAUUGCUAAAAGGGAAACGAUUGAAAUCAGUGUUGGCUGGUGGAAAUCAGCGGGUUGCUUCGGCGGCCGGUGCACUUUUCACCCGCCAGGUCAACAUGGCUUUCGGGCGAGGUAAACUAGUGUGGGAAGGUGGCUCUCUCUCGGGGGAGUGUUAUAGCCUGCGCGAAUAUGUUGUCUGGGAGCGAGGAUUGCAGUACAUGCCGCAAGGCUGGCGAAGCAGGUGCUACAUUGAAGGCGCGUGGGGACAGCAUGCUGGCUCUAUGCGACUGCGAGGUACUUGGCUGUGGAGCACAAAUGUACUCAGGAUGUUGACGAAAUGGUUUUAAACGACC